GAGGCAGCAGUAGAGAAUCUGUGCAAUAAACGAAAGUAUGACACAGAGAGGACACAUUUAAUUGAGCCCGUCAAAUUAAGUGCCAGCCGACGCGGUUAAACUUAAGGGCUGGUCUUUAUAAGUAAAAAGGCGUAAAGGAUGUGUAGGCCAAGAAACGACCCAAGAAGGUAAAUGGAAUUUUUCUGGAGCGGUAGAAUGUGAGGAUAGAAAAUAGAACCCCUAAGGUUAAAACUAUUUACCACAAGGUAGGCUGAAACAUGAGUGUGUGGGGAGCAAACAGGAUUAGAGACCCUGGUAGUCCACACUGUGAACUUUGAAGAUGAUGCUUAGCAGACCCGAAAGGUAAAAUCUUCCGCCUGAGUAGUACGAUCGCAAGAUUAAAAUUCAAAAACUUUGGCUGUUCACUAUUUCGAUUAGAGGAGCGUGUAGUUUAAUUCGAUGGUCCGCGUGUUACCUUACCCCAACUUGAAUCUGUGACCGGUAUUGCAUGGCCGUCGUAAGUUCGUGUAUUAAGCUAGAAGGGACCCAACCCGGGCAUUUGCCCGGAGGAAGUCAGGUCUUAUGAUCCGAAUGUUGGGGGAUUUUAUGCGCUACAUUUUCUUAUAUAAUGGGAGACCUGGAAGGUGAGCCUCUAAAGUAAGAGUUCGGAAGGUCGCUGUAAGACGACUGGAAGUUGGAUUUAAUAGUAAUCGGAAAGUAGGGCGUUCCGGUGAAUUGGUACAAGUGUUAGCACAAAUUGCCCGUCGCCUUUACCUAGAAUGGUUAUUCGGACGUCUUCGGG
rnacentral:rRNA from 7 species